UAGAGUUUGAUCCUGGCUCAGAUUGAACGCUGGCGGCAGGCCUAACACAUGCAAGUCGAACGGCAGCACAGAAGAGCUUGCUCUUUGGGUGGCGAGUGGCGGACGGGUGAGUAAUGUCUGGGAAACUGCCCGAUGGAGGGGGAUAACUACUGGAAACGGUGGCUAAUACCGCAUAACGUCGCAAGACCAAAGUGGGGGACCUUCGGGCCUCACACCAUCGGAUGUGCCCAGAUGGGAUUAGCUAGUAGGUGGGGUAACGGCUCACCUAGGCGACGAUCCCUAGCUGGUCUGAGAGGAUGACCAGCCACACUGGAACUGAGACACGGUCCAGACUCCUACGGGAGGCAGCAGUGGGGAAUAUUGCACAAUGGGCGCAAGCCUGAUGCAGCCAUGCCGCGUGUAUGAAGAAGGCCUUCGGGUUGUAAAGUACUUUCAGCGGGGAGGAAGGCGACGCGGUUAAUAACCGCGUCGAUUGACGUUACCCGCAGAAGAAGCAUCGGCUAACUCCGUGCCAGCAGCCGCGGUAAUACGGAGGGUGCAAGCGUUAAUCGGAAUUACCGGGCGUAAAGCGCACGCAGGCGGUCUGUCAAGUCGGAUGUGAAAUCCCCGGGCUUAACCUGGGAACUGCAUUCGAAACUGGCAUGCUAGAGUCUUGUAGAGGGGGGUAGAAUUCCAGGUGUAGCGGUGAAAUGCGUAGAGAUCUGGAGGAAUACCGGUGGCGAAGGCGGCCUCCUGGACAAGGACUGACGCUCAGUGCGAAAGCGUGGGGAGCAAACAGAUUAGAUACCCUGUAGUCCACGCCGUAAACGAUGUCGACUU
rnacentral:rRNA from 1 species